rnacentral:rRNA from 1 species
GACGAACGCUGGCGGCGUGCCUAAUACAUGCAAGUUGAGCGAUGAAGAUUGGUGCUUGCACCAAUUUGAAGAGCAGCGAACGGGUGAGUAACGCGUGGGGAAUCUGCCUUUGAGCGGGGGACAACAUUUGGAAACGAAUGCUAAUACCGCAUAACAACUUUAAACAUAAGUUUUAAGUUUGAAAGAUGCAAUUGCAUCACUCAAAGAUGAUCCCGCGUUGUAUUAGCUAGUUGGUGAGGUAAAGGCUCACCAAGGCGAUGAUACAUAGCCGACCUGAGAGGGUGAUCGGCCACAUUGGGACUGAGACACGGCCCAAACUCCUACGGGAGGCAGCAGUAGGGAAUCUUCGGCAAUGGACGAAAGUCUGACCGAGCAACGCCGCGUGAGUGAAGAAGGUUUUCGGAUCGUAAAACUCUGUUGGUAGAGAAGAACGUUAGUGAGAGUGGAAAGCUCAUCAAGUGACGGUAACUACCCAGAAAGGGACGGCUAACUACGUG